rnacentral:rRNA from 1 species
UACGUAGGUGGCAAGCGUUGUUCGGAAUUAUUGGGCGUAAAGGGCGCGUAGGCGGUCUUGUAAGUCAGCUGUGAAAGCCCGGGGCUCAACCCCGGAGGGUCGGCUGAUACUGCAGGACUGGAGUACGGAAGAGGUAGCUGGAAUUCCCGGUGUAGCGGUGAAAUGCGUAGAUAUCGAGAGGAACACCAGAGGUGAAGACGGGUUGCUGGGCUGACACUGACGCUGAGGCGCGAAAGCCAGGGGAGCAAACGGG